GGUUGGGUUUUGGGGAUGGGUUUUGGUUUAUUUCUUUUGGGUUUCGGUUUGGGCUAUGAGGUCAGAGUCUAUGUAUUUUUUCGUUGGGCUUGAGUGAUAAAAAGACGGGUUGGCCUGCUUGCUUCUCUUGGACUUUCGGCUGGGCUUAGGUAGUGUUUGGUCCAAAGUAAUAAAAUGAUGGCCCGAUGGCCUUUUUCUUACCCAAGGAAGAGACCAAAAUUUGCACUUUAGCCCCUGAUCGUUGGAGUAGGUUUACUUCGGCCCAGAACAUUUUAAAUUUUUUUACUUAGGUCCUUAAAUUAAUUGCACUUUGGUCCUUGAACUUUAUCUUUCAUUUAAUUUUGGCCCC
rnacentral:lncRNA from 1 species